CGUCAGCUCCCCCGUCUGACGUCAGGGGAGUCAAAUGCGCAUGCGCGGCAAGUGCCGCGCUCGCAUUCAAAAGUGUCCAUAGGAAAGCAUUUCUCAGUGCUUUCCUAUGGACGCUCUGUGCAAUGGAGGCAUAAUAUGCCUCCAGCGUCGCAGAUGCGCCUCUAGUGGCUGUCAGGAAGACAGCCACUAGAGGCUGGCUUAUCCCCAAAUGUAAA